UUGUGGGAGGUGCCGAGGGCUCUCCUCGCGCAGCUGUGCAGUGCUGAGGGGCGGCGGGCGGGGGGAGUCCCCGCGACUCCUCGCAGCGCCCCCAGCUGCUUGCGGAGAGACUGGGGCUCACAGGGGCCUCUGGGUCAGCGGAACGACGCGGAUCAGAACGCCAGAGUGCGGGUGCGAUGGAGGGACCUGAGCCCCCACACCGGGGGCCCCGGGAGUGAUGCCACCCGUAGGUGUGGCGGGUGGGAACCUUCAGGUUCCCUAAGGCGCCCGUUUCAGCUCUGCUCACCUCCCACGGGGCUUAGUGGCGUCUGCCCCCGAGUGGCUCCCGGGUCCCUUCUCCCCCGGACUCCCUGCGGCCGGCUGCUCCGUCCGGCUCCGAGCCCCGCCCCCAUCCCCCCGACCCAGGUCCGGGUCGCGAUCUCGAGUCUCGCCUCGGAGCAGUGUGCUCCCGUGCUCCCGGGGACUCGGGUUUCUCUCUCGAGUGCCUGCCGGGCCGCUCCUGUGUCCAGAGGUCCCUAGCCCGCGUUGCUGCAGCUCUGCCUCCUUAACUCUGACCUCGCCCAGGAGGAAGAAGAGGUGACCAAUUCCCAGCUCACAGAAUCUCCUCAGAGGCCAGAAAGACAGGCCUGGAAGCUACACAACUUGGAACAUUGCCCAGAUCACACAGCUGGACCAUCGCAGUGGAGAAACCACUGCUGCUGUGCAGGCACUCAAUUUGCACUGCUGACCCAGGGCUGAAGACACCAUCCCUAGAACAUUUGUUUCUAGUGCUUCUAAAACUGGAUGCCUCUGCUGCCAUUUCCAACUCUUCACUUCUGAAUUAAAGACUUGUGCAAGUACAUCUGGCUGGCUAACCAAGCUACAGGGGACUCUGGCAAGAACCUGUUACAUUGAAGGAUGUGGCCGUGGGCUUCACUGAGGAGGAGUGGGGGCAACUAGACCCUGCACAAAGGGCCCUGUACAAAGAGGGAAGAAACUUUAUGACUGUGCUGAGUGUGGGAAGAGCUUCAGUCUGAGCACAGAUCUUUGCUAUCUAUCAUCAGAGAAUUCAUACUGGGGAGAAACCUUUCAUAUGUGAUACAUGUGGCAAAGGCUUCAGUUAUAACACAAAUCUUCAUGUUCAUCGAAGAGUUCACACAGGAGAGAAGGCUUUUACGUGUGAGGAGUGUGGCAAGGCCUUCAAUCAGAGAUCCAUCAGAGAGUCCACAUUGGAGAGAAACUCCACAAGCAUGAAAAGUGUGGUAAGGGCUUCAGUCAAAACAUAGAUCUCCUAGCACAUCAGAGAGUCCACGUAAGAGAAACUGUUUAAUUGUGAAACUCUGAAAACAGGGACUUAAAUGCUCAUCUGAAAGUCCACACAGGAGAGAAACUCUACAAGCAUGUGUGAUACACCUGCAUGUGUGCCUUGAAAAUAUUUGGCAUUGUUUCCAGGGAGUAAAAAAUGGAAAACAACACAUAUGUCCAUCAGUAGAGGACUGGUUUAAUAGACUAUACAUCUACAGUGGAAGAAUGUGCAGCUGUAAUGAAAAAAAUUCUCUUAUUGAAAUGGAAAUAUCUCCAAGAUAUUAAAUAAAUGCAAGGUAGAGAACAAUGUGUAUAUAUGCAUGUAUAUAUAAAUAUAUAAAAAAUAUUGUAUAGAUAUAAAAUACAUUUUAUUAAGAAUGAGAAUAUAUAUUUGCUUAUAUUUGCAUAAUGUCAUAUUGGAAGGAUAAACAAAGGACUAUGAAAUGGUUGUCUGGGGGGCAGGACUCAAAUUGAGAGUUUUCUGUACUUUGUUUUUUGUAUUUUUUAAAUAGUUUUUAUUUGAACAUGCUACUUUUAAAACAAUGCUGAGUGAGAGCCAAUAGCUUUUAGCAUUUAUUGACAUAUUGGCUUCCCUAUUGUUAAUAAAAUAUUUUAUGCAGAAUAUUUGUUUCUAUGGGUUUGCCUGAGUUUUUAUUUUAAUUAGGAUUUUUAUUAUGGUUUUACAGUCUCAAAAAUGGGUUGAUUCAUUUAAGUAACCUAGAAAAAAAGCAAAAUAUACUCAAAAGCAAGCAGAAGAAAUUAAAGGGCAGAAAUCAAUGAAAUUGAAAACAGAAAAAUAUAUGCAACUGAUUA